UGGGGAAUAUUGCACAAUGGGGGAAACCCUGAUGCAGCGACGCCGCGUGAACGAAGAAGGUAUUCGUAUCGUAAAGUUCUGUCCUAUGGGAAGAUAAUGACAGUACCAUAGAAGAAAGCUCCGGCUAAAUACGUGCCAGCAGCCGCGGUAAUACGUAUGGAGCGGGCGUUGUCCGGAAUUAUUGGGCGUAAAGGGUACGCAGGCGGUUUAAUAAGUCGAAUGUUAAAGAUCGGGGCUCAACCCCGUAAAGCAUUGGAAACUGAUAAACUUGAGUAGUGGAGAGGAAAGUGGAAUUCCUAGUGUAGUGGUGAAAUACGUAGAUAUUAGGAGGAAUACCAGUAGCGAAGGCGACUUUCUGGACACAAACUGACGCUGAGGUACGAAAGCGUGGGGAGCAAACAGG
rnacentral:rRNA from 1 species